rnacentral:rRNA from 1 species
CAGCAGCCGCGGGAAAACGGAGGGUGCAAGCGUUAAUCGGAAUUACUGGGCGUAAAGCGUGCGUAGGCGGUUCGUUAAGUCUGUUGUGAAAGCCCCGGGCUCAACCUGGGAAUGGCAAUGGAUACUGGCGAGCUAGAGUGUGUCAGAGGAUGGUGGAAUUCCCGGUGUAGCGGUGAAAUGCGUAGAGAUCGGGAGGAACACCAGUGGCGAAGGCGGCGAUCUGGGAAGAUACUGACGCUGAGGUGCGAAAGCGUGGGGAGCAAACAGGAUUAGAUACCCGCGUAGUCCCUGUCUCUUAUAC